rnacentral:lncRNA from 1 species
UCCCAACAGAGCCACGCUCAGUCUUUGGUUUCUAGGGAAGCCGAGGUUCUGCCUGCAGAGGCCACGCUGAGACUCCAGAAGCUUCAAGCUCAAAACCCAGUGAGCAAAAACAUGUCAUCAUCACCUAAGCUGCAUGUAGCUUCUCAAGCGCCUCCUGAUACAAGACGAGAUCACAGUGAUGUAAUGGAGAGAGCUCGGGCUGCUAUAGCUAGCGCUGAUCAUGCGACUGCUGCAGCCCGUGCUGCAGCGCAACUAGUGAAUGCCUCUUAUGGGGCUGCACCCGCUGUAGCAGCAGAAGGGAAGCCUUCAAACUUAAUGUAGUUGCUACGUCAUGAUUUGCAAAAGAAGGGUUAACGAUGUUUCGUUAGGUUUGGAAAUGAAUAUAUGCUAAAGAGUAACAGUAAAAAUAUGCUAUGAAUUGUGUGACCUUGUGAACUGGUUUCAUAAGUUUAACUUUGGUAAUCCUAAUCAAAAUCGUUGAUUUAAGUUAUUUUAAGUUAUACCACUUGUAUUUAAAUUAAACUAAUUUGAAUAUUUCCAAAACAUUGGUUUGAUAAUUACAAAAAUAUAAUGUCAAAUCAUUCUAAUUGGCUCUAUUUACUUUUUCCUAGUAAAUUCCCACCAAAUAACAUAGAUUCAGUCAUGAUUACCCAUUGAUACAUAGAAAAAUAUAUUAUAAUAGUGGGAACAUGGGACAAAAUGUGAGAUAAUUGAUGUUUCUCAAUAUGUAUUUUAAUUGUUUAUCGUGUUUAACAUGAACCAACAAUAAUAACAAUAGUCUUGAUUAACACUGGGACUCUUCUGCCACUGAAGCUGAGUUCAUGAAGAGCCAUGAAGACUUACUGGUACUUCUUGCUCAACACUUGUUUUUCCAGUUUUGAAAGAAUGCUAUGCACCAAGUUUAUAGAAAUAAUAUGACAUUGAAUUGGAAACUUUUAUAAUCUAAAUUUGUUGUUCAUCUGUCUUGUAGACACUAGAUAGUACUCUCUCUUGUUCCAUUAAGAUAAAUGUUUUAGAAAAGAAAUUGUUUUAGAAAAUGUUUUCUAUGUGGAAAUUGUAAACUUUAAAAAAUUUAAUUGAGUUUAUUGUAUUGUUUUUGGUUAAAAAUUAUUGAGAAUUGUAGAAAAUAAUAGAUUUAUAAUGGUGAUUUAAUAUGUGUGAAUACACUAGAAAAUCUAUUUUUAAAGAACAGAGAUAGUAGUAUUCAAUAGGCAAAAGGAGCAAUAAAUAUAUUUCUGCGUUACAAUAGAAUCAUAAUCUUUCCACGUCUUGCGGCUACCGUGAAUGUUGAGUUUGGUUCAAAUGAAUUCUCUUUAUAAAGUUGAUGGUUUGGUUGAAAAUGACAUUUGUAGGGUGGAGCUAAGCAAAUACAUCGUCAAGAUAGUGUCUCUGAAUCUAGACCGUCCCAACAGAGCCACGCUCAGUCUUUGGUUUCUAGGGAAGCCGAGGUUCUGCCUGCAGAGGCCACGCUGAGACUCCAGAAGCUUCAAGCUCAAAACCCAGUGAGCAAAAACAUGUCAUCAUCACCUAAGCUGCAUGUAGCUUCUCAAGCGCCUCCUGAUACAAGACGAGAUCACAGUGAUGUAAUGGAGAGAGCUCGGGCUGCUAUAGCUAGCGCUGAUCAUGCGACUGCUGCAGCCCGUGCUGCAGCG